ACGGAAGGCAGCAGUGGGGAAUAUUGGACAAUGGGCGCAAGCCUGAUCCAGCAACGCCGCGUGGAGGACGAAGGUCUUCGGAUUGUAAACUCCUGUCAGGGGGGACGAAGGUCCGUCGGUGAAUAAUCGACGGACUUGACGGUACCUCCAGAGGAAGCCCCGGCUAACUCCGUGCCAGCAGCCGCGGUAAUACGGAGGGGGCGAGCGUUAUUCGGAAUUAUUGGGCGUAAAGGGCGCGUAGGCGGCCCGGUAAGUCAAAGGUGAAAUCCCUCGGCUCAACUGAGGAACUGCCUUUGAAACUGUCGGGCUUGAGGCCGGGAGGGGGUAGCGGAAUUCCCAGUGUAGCGGUGAAAUGCGUAGAUAUUGGGAGGAACACCGGUGGCGAAGGCGGCUACCUGGACCGGUUCUGACGCUGAUGCGCGAAAGCGUGGGUAGCAAACAGGAUUAGAUACCCUGGUA
rnacentral:rRNA from 1 species